rnacentral:lncRNA from 1 species
AAAAUGCUCAUUAGAGCAUUUCAGACUUAGGAUUUUGGGAUUAGGGCUGCUCAACCAGUAAAGCAAAUAUUCCAAAGUCAAAAAAAAAUUCUGAAAUCUGAAACAUUUCCGGUCCCAAGCAUUUCAGAUAAGGGAUAUUUAAACUGUAGCCAUCCCGACGAGUGUGAGGCGUCUUCUCAAAAGUCUUGCACACUAUUUUGUCUGCUUUGAUCUGUCAUGUGUUUCCUACCACUUUGAAAGCAUAACGAAUUUUAUCCGUAUUCAUUUAUGAUGAGAGGCAGUCCAGGCAGUGCAAAGGGCACAAAUCGUGGUCCCACAAGUCCUGGCUUCUGACCCGGAUCACUGUGAGACCCUGAGCAAGCAAGAACUUGCUCCAGGCCUCAGUUUCCUUGGUCUCUGGGGGAAGCCAGGAUGAUAAUCAGCCAUGCUCCAACCCCUCAGCUGAAACUCAGGCCUGGAUGCAUUGUAAAUGGAUUUCCUCUUCCACAGGGUCUGGCUGUUUUGCCCAGAAUGGAGUGCAGUGGCGUGAUGGUCUCGGCUGACAGCAGCCUCGACCUCCUGGGCUCAAGCCUUGGCCUCCCAAAGUGCUGGGAUUACAGCCACCAUCCUGUGAGGAAGCCCAGAGCACAUGAAGAGACCACCUGCACAUGUUCAGAUCCACUGCCCCAGCUAAGAUCUCCGCUGACAGCCAGACCAAUCACCAAUCUUAGGAGCUGGCGAGCCUUCAGAUGGUCCAACCUUUGAGGCCCCCCAGAGGAGCCAGGUGGAGCAUAGAUGAGCCAUCCAUGUGGAUCCCUCCACCAAAUGGAAGAUUUAGGAGCAAAAUAAACAAUGUUGUCAUUGCUUUC